UGUUUUACAGAUGAAGAAACUGGGGCCUUGAGAAGCUAAGAGACUUUCAUGAAUCUUACAUCAUAAAUUGAGGAACAUGGCAGAUUCAUUUCACAAAGCUACUGCAAGGGCAGAUGCCACACUGAUUGCCAAAUGUUUAGUAGAUACAUGGAACUAUGGAUGAAUACACUGAAAAUGAAACUGUAGGUAAUGGAGACCCAGAGAAGUAAAGAAAAUACUUUGAUAUCACAUCAUGGACAGAUGGAAGAACUUAAACUAGAACACAAAUCACUUGACUCAUGUACAAGUCUCUUUCCA